GGGCCCGCACAAGCAGCGGAGCGUGUGGUUUAAUUCGAUGCUACGCGAAAAACCUUACCCGGGUUUGACAUACAGGUGGUAGGGAACUGAAAGGGGACCGACCCUUCGGGGAGCCUGAACAGGUGCUGCAUGGCUGUCGUCAGCUCGUGUCGUGAGAUGUCCGGUUAAGUCCGGUAACGAGCGCAACCCUUGCCGUAUGUUACAAGUGUCAUACGGGACUGCCGGUAUCAAGCCGGAGGAAGGUGGGGAUGACGUCAAGUCAGCAUGGCCUUUAUAUCCGGGGCUACACACACGCUACAAUGGUCAGUACAAUAGGUUGCAAAGCCGCGAGGUGGAGCCAAUCCCUAAAGCUGGCCUCAGUUCAGAUUGCAGGCUGCAACUCGCCUGCAUGAAGUUGGAGUUGCUAGUAACCGCGCGUCAGCAAUAGUGCGGUGAAUACGUUCCCGGGCCUU
rnacentral:rRNA from 1 species